AACGAACGCUGGCGGCAUGCCUAACACAUGCAAGUCGAACGAGACCUUCGGGUCUAGUUGCGCACGGGUGCGUAACGCGUGGGAACCUUCCCUUAUGUUCGGAAUAACUCCCCGAAAGGGGUGCUAAUACCGGAUAAUUUCUUCUACCCCAAGAUGUAUCGACUUUGGAUGGGCCCGCGUUGGAUUAGCUAUUUGGUAGGUUAAAAGCCUACCAAGGCUACGAUCCAUAGCUGGUAUGAGAGGACGAUCAGCCACACUGGGACUGAGACACGGACCAGACUCCUACGGGAGGAAGCAGUGGUGAAUAUUGGACAAUGGGCGAGAGACUGAGGCAGCAAUGCCGUAUGAGUGAUGAAGGACUUAGGGUCGUAAAGCUCUUUUAAACGCGAUGAUAAUGACAGUACCGGGAGAAUAAGCGCCGGCUAACUCCGUG
rnacentral:rRNA from 1 species